AUUGAACGCUGGCGGCAGGCCUAACACAUGCAAGUCGAACGAGUGGCGGACGGGUGAGUAAUGUCUGGGAAACUGCCUGGGGGAGGGGGAUAACUACUGGAAACGGUAGCUAAUACCGCAUACCAUCAGAUGGGCCCAGCUGGGAUUAGCUAGUUGGUGGGGUAACGGCUCACCAAGGCCCCGUUCCCUAGCUGGUCUGAGAGGAUGACCAGCCACCCUGGAACGGGGACACGGGCCGGCUUCCUAGGGGGGGCAGUGGGGGGGAAUAUUGCACAAGGGGCGCAAGCCUGUUGCAGCCAUGCCGGGUGGUGGAAGAAGUCCUUCGGGUUGUAAAGUACUUUCAGCGGGGAGGCGUUACCCGCAGAAGAAGCACCGGCUAACUCCGUGCCAGCAGCCGCGGAAUUC
rnacentral:rRNA from 1 species